AACGAACGCUGGCGGCAUGCCUAACACAUGCAAGUCGAACGGAUGGUCGCAAGACCAUUAGUGGCGGACGGGUGCGUAACGCGUGGGAACCUGCCUUGAAGUUCGGAAUAACUGCGGGAAACUGCAGCUAAUACCGGAUGUGGCCUGCGGGCCAAAGGGGAAACUCGCUUCAAGAGGGGCCCGCGUCCGAUUAGCUAGUUGGCGGGGUAACGGCCCACCAAGGCGAUGAUCGGUAGCUGGUCUGAGAGGACGACCAGCCACACUGGAACUGAGAUACGGUCCAGACUCCUACGGGAGGCUG
rnacentral:rRNA from 1 species